UACGUAGGGUGCGAGCGUUGUCCGGAAUUACUGGGCGUAAAGAGCUCGUAGGUGGUUUGUCGCGUUGUUCGUGAAAACUCACAGCUUAACUGUGGGCGUGCGGGCGAUACGGGCAGACUGGAGUACUGCAGGGGAGACUGGAAUUCCUGGUGUAGCGGUGGAAUGCGCAGAUAUCGGGAAGAACACCCGUGGCUAAGGCGGCUCUCUAGUACGGUACUGACGCUGAGACGCGAAAGCGUGGGGAGCGAACAGG
rnacentral:rRNA from 1 species